UUUCGCAAUGCCCGAAAGGGUGACGAAGCGACGCCGCGUGUGGGAAGAAGGCCUUCGGGUUGUAAACCACUGUCGGGAGUUAAGAAAUGUAAGAAUGUUAAUAGCGUUCUUACUUGACUAAGGCUCCGGAGGAAGCCACGGCUAACUCUGUGCCAGCAGCCGCGGUAAUACGGAGGUGGCGAGCGUUGUUCGGAGUUACUGGGCGUAAAGGGCGCGUAGGCGGAAUGGUCCGUCCGAUGUGAAAGUGCUACCGCUCAACGGAGCAAAGCCAUCGGAAACCGCCAUUCUUGAGUCCGGGAGAGGUGAGUGGAAUUGCCAGUGUAGCGGUGGAAUGUGUAGAUAUUGGCAAGAACACCGGUGGCGAAGGCGGCUCACUGGCCCGGUUCUGACGCUAAGUGCGCGAAAGCGUGGGGAGCGAACAGGAUUAGAUACCCUGGUAGUCCACGCCCUAAACGGUGGGCACUAAGUAGAGGGGUUUUA
rnacentral:rRNA from 1 species